rnacentral:rRNA from 1 species
AGUGAACGCUGGCGGUAGGCCUAACACAUGCAAGUCGAACGGCAGCACAGUAAGAGCUUGCUCUUACGGGUGGCGAGUGGCGGACGGGUGAGGAAUACAUCGGAAUCUACUUUUUCGUGGGGGAUAACGUAGGGAACUUACGCUAAUACCGCAUACGACCUACGGGUGAAAGCCGGGGAUCUUCGGACCUUGCGCGAUUUAAUUAGCCGAGGUCGGAUUAGCUAGUUGGCGGGGUAAAGGCCCACCAAGGCGACGAUCCGUAGCUGGUCUGAGAGGAUGAUCAGCCACACUGGAACUGAGACACGGUCCAGACUCCUACGGGAGGCAGCAGUGGGGAAUAUUGGACAAUGGGCGCAAGCCUGAUCCAGCCAUACCGCGUGGGUGAAGAAGGCCUUCGGGUUGUAAAGCCCUUUUGUUGGGAAAGAAAAGCAGCAGGUUAAUACCCCGCUGUUCUGACGGUACCCAAAGAAUAAGCACCGGCUAACUUCGUG